AGAGUUUGAUCCUGGCUCAGAACGAACGCUGGCGGCAGGCUUAACACAUGCAAGUCGAACGCUCCGCAAGGAGAGUGGCAGACGGGUGAGUAACGCGUGGGAACAUACCCCUCGGUUCGGAAUAACUCAGGGAAACUUGAGCUAAUACCGAAUACGGUCGAGAGGCGAAAGAUUUAUCGCCGAGGGAUUGGCCCGCGUCCGAUUAGCUAGUUGGUGAGGUAAUGGCUCACCAAGGCGACGAUCGGUAGCUGGUCUGAGAGGAUGAUCAGCCACAUUGGGACUGAGACACGGCCCAAACUCCUACGGGAGGCAGCAGUGGGGAAUAUUGGACAAUGGGCGAAAGCCUGAUCCAGCCAUGCCGCGUGAGUGAUGACGGCCUUAGGGUUGUAAAGCUCUUUCAUCAGGGACGAUAAUGACGGUACCUGAAGAAGAAGCCCCGGCU
rnacentral:rRNA from 1 species